AAUCAGGCUUCCGGUGAAAUAAUUUAUUGCCAAAUGAGGCGCUCGCGUCCGAUUAGUUAGCUGGUGGGGUAAGCUCCUACCAAGACAGCGAUCGGUAGUUGGUGUGAGAGGAUGAGCAGCCACACUGGGACUGAGACACGGCCCAGACUCCUACGGGAGGCAGCAGUGGGGAAUUCUCCGCAAUGGGCGAAAGCCUGACGGAGCAAUACCGCGUGAGGGAGGAAGGCUUUUGGGUUGUAAACCUCUUUUAUUAAGGAAGAAGCAAGUGACGGUACUUAAUGAAUCAGCAUCGGCUAACUCCGUGCCAGCAGCCGCGGUAAUACGGAGGAUGCAAGCGUUAUCCGGAAUCAUUGGGCGUAAAGCGUCCGCAGGUGGUCUAUCGUGUCUGCCGUCAAAGACAGAAGCUCAACUUCUGAAAGGCAGUGGAAACUGGUGGACUAGAGUACGGUAGGGGUCGAGGGAAUUCCCAGUGUAGCGGUGAAAUGCGUAGAUAUUGGGA
rnacentral:rRNA from 1 species